GAAAUGCGAUAAGUAAUGUGAAUUGCAGAAUUCAGUGAAUCAUCGAAUCUUUGAACGCACCUUGCGCCCUCUGGUAUUCCGGAGGGCAUGCCUGUUUGAGUGUCAUUAAAUUCUCAACUUCAAUAGUUUGUAAUGAACAUUUGAAGCUUGGAUGUGGAGGUUUUGCUGGCAUCUUAGCAUGUUCGGCUCCUCUUAAAUGCAUUAGUGGAACCCAUUUGUUGGAUCAUCCUUGGUGUGAUAAUUAUCUACGCUUUGGUUGGUUUAAUGAACUUCUAUGAACUUUCAGCAUUUGCUGGUGUGGGUAUUGUAACUAUUGUUGCUUUAUCUGGUUCAUUAGAGUUGGGACAAUAUCUGCUCUCUAACUGUCUGUGUAUGCGGACAACUUCUUGAUAUUUGACCUCAAAUCAGGUAGGACUACCCGCUGAACUUAA
rnacentral:misc_RNA from 1 species